AUUGAACGCUGGCGGCAGGCCUAACACAUGCAAGUCGAGCGAGCGGCGGACGGGUGAGUAAUGUCUGGGAAACUGCCUGAUGGAGGGGGAUAACUCCUGGAAACGGUAGCUAAUACCGCAUACCAUCAGAUGUGCCCCGAUGGGAUUAGCUAGUAGGUGGGGUAACGGCUCACCUAGGCGACGAUCCCUAGCUGGUCUGAUAGGAUGACCAGCAACACUGGAACUGAGACACGGUCCAGACGCCUACGGGAGGAAGCAGUGGGGAAUAUGGCACAAUGGGCGCAAGCCUGAUGCAGCCAUGCCGCGGGUGUGAAGAAGGCCUUCGGGUUGUAAAGCACUUUCAGCGGGGAGGCGUUACCCGCAGAAGAAGCACCGGCUAACUCCGUGCCAGCAGCCGCGGUAAUAC
rnacentral:rRNA from 1 species